rnacentral:rRNA from 1 species
CAGUAGGGAAUCUUCCACAAUGGACGAAAGUCUGAUGGAGCAACGCCGCGUGAGUGAAGAAGGAUUUCGGUUCGUAAAACUCUGUUGCAAGGGAAGAACAAGUAGCGUAGUAACUGGCGCUACCUUGACGGUACCUUGUUAGAAAGCCACGGCUAACUACGUGCCAGCAGCCGCGGUAAUACGUAGGUGGCAAGCGUUGUCCGGAAUUAUUGGGCGUAAAGCGCGCGCAGGUGGUUCCUUAAGUCUGAUGUGAAAGCCCCCGGCUCAACCGGGGAGGGUCAUUGGAAACUGGGGAACUUGAGUGCAGAAGAGGAUAGUGGAAUUCCAAGUGUAGCGGUGAAAUGCGUAGAGAUUUGGAGGAACACCAGUGGCGAAGGCGACUGUCUGGUCUGUAACUGAC